ACCAAUUCCGUUGGACGAUUUAUUCUAUCGCUUUCCUUCGGUAUAAUGGCUUGGGUGCAAGAUCAAACCUAUUUUUGUGGUCAUCCCGAUCGGUGGAUUUUUUUCUUCCAUUUCACUAGGUCUUGGAAACGCCAUAUACAUUC
rnacentral:snoRNA from 1 species